rnacentral:rRNA from 1 species
UACGGAGGGAGCUAGCGUUGUUCGGAAUCAUUGGGUUUAAAGGGUCCGUAGGCGGCCUUAUAAGUCAGUGGUGAAAUCCCAUCGCUUAACGAUGGAACUGCCAUUGAUACUGUAGGGCUUGAAUAAUUAGGAAGUAACUAGAAUAUGUAGUGUAGCGGUGAAAUGCUUAGAUAUUACGUGGAAUACCAAUUGCGAAGGCAGGUUACUACUAGUUUAUUGACGCUGAUGACGAAAGCGUGGGGAGCGAACAGG